rnacentral:rRNA from 1 species
AUGCCUACGGGACGCAGCAGUGAGGAAUAUUGGUCAAUGGCCGGGAGGCUGAACCAGCCAAGUCGCGUGAGGGAUGACGGCCCUACGGGUUGUAAACCUCUUUUGCCGGGGAGCAAAGAGCGGGACGCCUCCCGCCUCGAGAGUACCCGGAAAAAAAGCAUCGGCUAACUCCGUGCCAGCAGCCGCGGUAAUACGGAGGAUGCGAGCGUUAUCCGGAUUUAUUGGGUUUAAAGGGUGCGCAGCCGGAAGCGCAUG